UACAGAGGAGCCAAGCGUUGUCCGGAUUGACUGGGCGUAAAGCGCACGCAGGCGGCACCGCGCGUGGGGUGUGAAAUCUGGCCCGCUUAACGGCCAGGCGCCAUCCCAUACGGCGGAGCUGGAGUGAUGCAGAGGUCGAUGGAAUUGCCGGUGUAGUGGUGAAAUGCGUAGAGAUGUGGAGGAACACCGAUGGCGAAGGCAGCCCCCCCCUGGGCCAAUACUGACGUCAUGCACGAAAAGCGUGGGGGAGCAAACAGG
rnacentral:rRNA from 1 species